UGGGCUGUUAUUAAAGAAAGAAAAUAAUAACAAAGAAAACCCAAUAUAAUUGGGCUUAAAGUUCUCUAAAAAGAAAAUACCCGAUUAAAACAUAUAGCAACUUUUUUCCCAUAAACUAGCCUAACAAAAAGAAUUAAAUAAAUAAUAAAACAUUGAACCUAAUUAAAUUGCCCAGUCAAAUCAGACAGCCUGGAAGCAUUAAAAUUUUCUCCUUUUCAUACUGAAUCGUCACAUCUGUCUGUGAGAUAACAAGUUCCCAAAAACGUUUUUUCUUCAUUCCUGUUACCAUUUUCAAGAGUCUUCUUCUUUGAAAAACUUCCUUCAAUCUGGAUUUCUUGGCCAUUCUUCUUUCGUCACUCCUUCGUUGUGGAUCGACUCAUCUCUUACCAGGUAUCUCUCAUUCUCAUUUGCUAGUGUUUCCUUCGCUAUUUUGUGGGCUUGGUAGUUCUCUGACUUUUGGAUAUACUGGAAACUUACUUCAUGAAAUAGCAAACUAUGGCUCUUUAUAUCGUUAAUAACUGCUCCUAUGCUUGAUUUAUCCCUUUCUGCCGAUUGACAUUUUGCAAUGACUGUUUUUGAGUCUCCCCUUAUUGUGGCUGAUCGGAGACCCAGAGAAAUUCCCAAUUUGACUGCCUGUAGACAAGCUAAAGCCUCUGCAAGGAAAGGAGAUGAGACAUUGGAAUGAAGGGUCGUUUUUAAGACUUUCAUCUCUCCCCUCCUAUUACGUACAAUGACCCCUAACGCCGAUCUGUAUCUAUUUGCCUCAAAAGCUGCGUCAAAAAGAAUUGUGUCCCUCGGCUCCUCCUCCGAAUGUUUCUGUAGUCUAUCAGUCCCCCUGGUAUGUUUUUCCUUACCCACCCCUUCAAGUUCUGCUAUAAAGCUUUCUAUUUUCUGUGCAAGAAUCCUUCCUGAAAGAUGUUUUCUUUCAUGUACCAUUUGAUUUCGGGAGUUCCAUAUGACCCAUAAAGUGCAGCAAAAUACCAUAUUCUAUUCUUUGGUACCUUUUGCAAAAACCCAUGUAAGCCAUGUUCUAAUGUUUUGAUCUGAAAAAAUUGUAACCCAGCCCAUGCUAAUAUUCUGCCAAACUUCUAUACUUGUAGGGCAUUGUCGGAACACAUGGGAGCUGUCUUCUUCGCCGGAACCAUAUCGGGGGCAUCUCACGAUUGUGGUUAUUCGCUUAUUUCGUAGGUUGACUAGAGUAGGCAUAUAGUUCCAGAAUAUCUGCCAGAUUAGCAGUAGGAUUUUUGAAGGAAGUUGUAUAUUCCAUAGCUUUCUGUAGAAUUCUUUAAGCUCGGUUUGUAAUAAAUUAUUAGGAGACAAAACAUCUUCUUGUAAUAGUUUGUAGGCACUCCGAACAGAGAACUCUCCAGUCGCCUCUCCUUUCCAAACUCUCAGAUCUUCGCUGUCCGUUUCUGCAAGUGGUAUCUUCAAAAUUUUCUGAGCAAUGUCCUCUUGGAAGGUACUAAAGAUGAUCUCCGUUUUCCACUGCUUACUUGUGCCAUCAAUUAAGUUUGAUACUGUUUUUAGUUCCCUGUUCUCAUUUCCAUUCUGCCAUGUACUAGGUUCGAUCCCUGGAAUCCAUCGAUCUGUCCAUAUGAAAACAUUAUUUCCUCUUCCAAUUCUCCAACUAAGCCCCUGAAUGAGAAGUUUCUUUGCUGCCCAGAUACUCUUCCAGGUAAGAGAAGGUAAAUUUCCCAACUCAGCUCUUAAAAAAUCUGACUGUGGAUAAUAUUUUGCUUUAAGGACUCUGGCUAAAAGUGAGUUUGGAAAAUUAAAAAGACGCCACCCCUGUUUGGCUAAUAACGCAAUAUUAAACUGACUGAGAUUGCGAAAGCCCAAUCCUCCAUUUUCUUUUAAAUUGCACAGAUUAUUCCAUAAACACCAAUGAAUUCCCCCUUUGCCAUGACCCUUUUCCCACCAAAACUUCGCGAUAAUUGCUUCCAUUUCCUCGCAUAAUGUUUUUGGAAGUAAAAAGCAAGCCAUUGAAUAUGUUGGUAUGGCUUGUAAGACUGUUUUAAUGAAAACUUCUUUCCCGCCCUGCGAUAAAAAUCUCGUGCUCCAAUUGUCAAUGCGCUUCCGUAGUCUAUCUUUCAAAACCUGAAAAGAAGCCUUCUUUUUUCUUCCAACCAUGGUCGGCAAACCUAGGUAACGUUCUGGCUCGUUUGAACUACGGAUUCCCAGUAGGUGUACCACCUAAAAUUUGUCUUCUUUCUUAGUGUUUUUGCUAAAGAAAAUAAAUGAUUUGUCCAUGUUCACACACUGUCCCGACCCUCUUUUGUACUCCCUUAAAAUCUCCUUAAUUGCAUUUGCCCCUCUACUUGAUGCCUCCCCAAAAAGAAUGCAAUCAUCUGCGAAUAAUAAAUGUGAUACCUGUGGGCCUCUUCUGGUUAUUUUGACCCUCUUCAGAAAACCUUCGUUGGUUGCUUUUCUCAUAAGGCCGGAAAGACCUUCCCCGCAUAUUACGAAAAGAAAUGGACUUAAAGGAUACCCCUGUCUGAGUCCUCUCGAUGGACAGAAUGCUUCCCCGAUAUUCCCAUUAACCACAACUUUAUAAGAAACAGUAGACAUGCAUUUUAUAAUCGUCUCAAUCCAGCUUCGAGCGAAGCCCAUUUUGCACAUUAUUUUUUCGAUGAAAUUCCAUUCAACUCUAUCAUCGGCCGUGCUCAUGUCCGGUUUAACCGCCAUAUAUCCCUUUUCCCCCACUCUUUUUUGAUUUAGGGAAUGCAAAAUUUCAUAGGCAAGAACAUUAUCCGAUAUUAAUCUUCCCGGCACAAAAGCACAUUGUGCACUAUCAAUGCAUUUAUCAAUCACUCCCCUAAAACUAUUUGCUAUAGCUUUUGCCAUUAUUUUAUAGAUAACGUUGCAUAAGCUAAUAGGCCUAAAAUGUGACAUGCUAACUGGAUUACUAUUUUUUGGAAUGAGCACAAUAUGAGUUACGUUAAUUAAACUAACCUCCAUAUCUCCAUUCAAAAGCGGUAGACAGAAGGAAACAACAUCCUUUCCAAUAAAAUGCCAGUACUUUUGAUAGAAUAGAGCUGGGAAUCCAUCUUCGCCUGGAGCUUUUGUGGGCAUCAUCGUGACAAAGCAUCGAGAAUUUCUUCACUUGUAUAUGAUGCCGUCAACUUUUUAUUUUCCUCUUCAUGGAUGCAUCGGUCAAUGCCUGAAAGUAAGAACUCCAGAUUAACCUAAUUCUCUGAUGUAAACAGCUUCUGAAAGUUGGAUCUUGCAAUGUUUUCCAUUUCCUUGAAAUCUCAUGUGGUUGUUCCAACUACUUUUUGUAACAUUCUGAUCUUGUUUUACCUCUGCCUUUGGGUAGCCUGACUAUGAAAAAUUCCUGUAUUUCGGUCCCCUAAAUUUAGCCAAUUCAGACGGGCCCUUUGCUCCCAAUACCUUUCCUCCUUCUCAAACUCCAUGUUUAAAUUAAUUUUCGUAUCGAUCAACUCCGCCAAAUUGUUGUCAUCCUUUUCAGCCUUAAGCAACUCAGAUAGUUUUGCCGUUAGAAAUUUCCUUUUUCCAGUUUUUGUGCUACGAAUAGUCGCUGCCCAACUCUCAAGCCCCUUCUUUAAGGCUUCCAAUUUCUGCAAAAAAUUCCAUGUUGCCAUCUUCCACAACUGUUCAGCUUCAGCAAUGAAUGUGUCCUCCAAAAACCAUCCGCUUUCAAUUCUGAAUAUAUUUCUAUUUUGUCUUCUUACUUCCGUCUUUGUAUUAAUUAAGAUAGGACAAUGAUCUGAGAACGAGUGAACCAAAUGUUGAGCUUUGACGUCAGAAAACAAUGAAAUCCACUCCGUAUUCGCCACCCCCUAUCCAACCUUUCACGUAUAUUAGUUUCCGGAAGAUUACCUCUUUCCCUUGUGAACCAUCUUCCCAGAUAAUCCACAUCGUUUAAUCGACAAAACUCCAGUGUUUUCGUAAACAUGUUCAUGCGUUUUUCAUCUUGGGGUAAACCUCCCUUCUUCUCGAAACUGUACAUAAUUUUGUUGAAAUCUCCACAUAUUAACCAUGGGAUGUUAUUUCCAUUAAAGAGAUUUUUCAGAACCCCCCAUGAGUCUUCCCUAUCCUGUGCGUACGGGUGCCAUAAAAACAUGUGAAACGCCCCAUCACCUCCCUCUCAUCAUCAUGGAUUAUCACAUCAAUAUAUCUUUUAGAGAAAUUCUGUAAAGAAAUAUUAACAUCAUACUUCCAUGCCAAACAUAGCCCUCCUUUAGUUCCCUCCGCGUCCACCUCAAUACCAUUCACAAAGACACAACUUCUUCUAACCCUUUCCAUCUGUUUUCCACCGAGCUUAGUCUCCAUAAAGAAGACUAUUUGGGAAUCACAAGUCUUCAGCGGUUGCUGAAGUCUUCUUACUGUCCGUGGAGUCCCCAAUCCACGAACAUUCCAACUUAUUAUUUUCAUAAUGUUCAGUCUGCUUGCCUCUUGGCAGCCGCCGAUGUAAGCUGAUUAAGGUCUGUUAAUUUUUUAUUUCUUACCGAAAGGUAUGACUCCUCAUAUUUUGUUUGGCCAUCACUCUCACUUCUAGAUCUUUUUUUCCCUCUUCACCUACUAGGGCUGUAUCCUCCAAAUCGUGUUCCAUCGCCUGUUGAUCAUUGCUCGUCAGUGAACUAGCCUGGUUUGCAGCAGCUCUUGACAAACCCCCAUCCAGAUUAAUCCCUAGAACUGGAUCAAUAAUCUUUACAAAGCUCUUUUUUUCCUCCAUUCCACGUGGUUCACUCAUGAAUUUCCUAUUUUCCUUCUGAAAUCCAUCUGAGUCUCCCUCCCAUUCCUCUCUAAGCCAGACACUUUUCAUAGUCAAAGCUCUUGGAGAUUGUGCUCUUAUUGAUAAAUCCCAUCCCAUCUCAGCUAUUUCCACUCCAACCAUCAUUUUUGCCUCACAAAACGAGUCAUUGUGGCCCAUCUUUCCACAAAAAAAAAUAGAAAAGAGACAAUCUUUCAUAUUUAAAAUUGACAUAUGAUCGUCUCCCACCAUAACUUGAACCCUCACCCUCAUGAAAUUUCUAUUUUCUUUCCCUAGAUUUGACACAUCGUAUUCCAUAAAGGACCCCAAGAAAUUCCCAAGAUUCACUGCUAAUUUUUCAGAAUACAAACCGAUAGGCACUUCAUGUAUCUGUACCCAGAAGGGGGUUAGUAUUAAGGGGACUAGCAUCGGGUUCUCCCCCCAUCGCAAUUUAUAAAGUAUCAAUAGAUGAUUAUUGAAAGUCCAAGGGGAGCCCUUCAAAACCCUCUCCAUAUCCAUAGGAUGAAAAAACUGGAACAAAUACCUUUUUUCCCCCAGAUCUCGAAUGCAAACUCGUCGAACAGGAUGCCAUAGAUUUGCCGUGGUGCUUUUCAUGGCUAGAAAGUGAAUUGUGCUUGCUGUGAGAAAACAACCCACUAAUUGAAAAAACUCCUCCCUUCUUCCCGUACCUGAGUUUUCUUGAAUUUUAAUAACCUCAUAUUCCUCUUCGUUGAUCUAUAAUUGGGCUAACUCGUUUUCCAUAUUGACAGGGACACCACUCCCCAAAACUAGAAGGAGAGACCAAGGAACAAAUCCUAAAAUCUUGCCAGAGGUGGCAGACACAACCGUGCUAGGGCACCAGACCUUCAUUAACAAAAUAAUAAUUAGUUAUAAAUAAAUGCUAAAACUCGAGAUCCUAAAUUCUCUAAAUUUUAAAUUAUUUUAAAAAAUAAAUUAUCAUAUUAUUCCAAUCUAGUCAUUUCCUUAACAAUUUCGCUAAUUUUUUUUGUUAUGUUUAUCGAUAACAUGUGUCAUUAUCUAAUUGCGACACAUUUUAAUUUUGUUUAUAUUUUUGUCUAUUAUUUUUCUUUUUUUAUAUAAAUAUAAAUAUAAAUAAUAAUUUAUUUUAUAAUUAAAUAACGUAUUAAUUUUACAAUUAAUUAUAAGCUAUUUGAAUUUAUUUUAUUAAAAAUAUUUUAUUUUUUUAAGAAAAUUUCCUUUUUAA
rnacentral:lncRNA from 1 species